rnacentral:other from 1 species
GGCGGGCUGCCCGGUGCGUGCGGAGACUUUAUUCCCUGGGGCCUAUGCGAUUCUGAACGGGAGCUGUCCCUGGGCUUGGCCGUGGCCUCGUCUAAACGGCGCCCACCUACAUCUGUAGGGACCCGGGAUUGCACUUCUCACACGGCCCACGGUGGCUCGCCG